rnacentral:lncRNA from 1 species
UGCAUGCUGCACAAAAUGAACGGCUCCCACUAAGAAUUGUGGUACAGGUCCUCUUCUCUGAGCAAGUGAAGAUAAACAACGCAAUAGCCAACAACACCCUGAAAGAAGCUGGUGAAUCUCAGUAUCAGCCAAUGAUAUCAAACCGAAAAACAUUACUUGAGGGUACCCCACAAUCAUUUCAAGAAGGAUGGACAGCAGCUAAAAAGGAUAUUAAUACACUAAAAUUCGAGCUUGAGAGCAUGAAGGCUAAGUACCUUGAACUCCAAAACGACAUGGAAAAUUUGCAGAGACAGUUUGACAAGACGUCAAAGCAGAAACAGACAUCGGCAUGGACCAGUGGCUGGAAGAAACUAAGCAAACUCACCAAGAUGACAAAUAUAGAAACUCAUGAUAUCGGGUCUCAGCUCCCAACUGCAGCCGACCAGACUAGAAAGACACCUAGAAGAUGGAGGAAUUCUAUUUCCUGAACAUAUGAGAAAGAUACAAAGAUGAAAAUUUCCAAGAAAGGGAUGAUACCUCAACUAUUCAACUGUGUUUUCCCCUGUUUUCUUUCUUUUCCUGUUUGGUUUUUUGAGAAAAUGAAGGUCCUUUUUCUUUUUCUUGCAGUAGCAGUUAUCUGGUAGUUCAAGUACAAUUUGUCGCCCUUUUCU